UGGCACAAUCUGCGUACGUAGAAAGAUCAAAAAGUCACUUCUAUGUACAAAUGUUGCGCUGCC
rnacentral:pre_miRNA from 1 species